rnacentral:rRNA from 1 species
GAUGAACGCUGGCGGCGUGCCUAACACAUGCAAGUCGAACGGAAAGGCGCUGCUUUUGUGUGUUGCUCGAGUGGCGAACGGGUGAGUAACACGUGAGUAACCUGCCCUUGACUUUGGGGUAACUACUGGAAAAAGGGGCUACUACCGGAUAGGAGCUCCUGAUGCACGGAGGGGGUUGGAAAGUUUCGGCGGUUCGGGAUGGACUCGCGGCUUAUCAGCUUGUUAGUGGGGUAGUGGCUUACCAAGGCUUUGACGGAUAGCCGGCCUGAGAGGGUGGCCGGCGACCUGGGGACUGAGAGACGGCGCAGACGGCAACGGGAGGCAGUAGGGGGAAACAUUACGCAACGGGGGGGAGUCUGUGACGGCAGCGUCCCGUUCGUGAAGACCUCCUACGGGGUGUAAACCGCUUUCGCCUGUGACGAAGCCUGAUUGACGGUAAUGGGUAAAGAAGCACCGGCUAACUACGUG